AUCAAGCUGACGAGUCUCAAAUAGGACGCAACGCGCGUCCUGGAU
rfam:Schistosoma haematobium scaffold614_13, whole genome shotgun sequence.